UACGUAGGGGGCUAGCGUUGUCCGGAAUCAUUGGGCGUAAAGAGCGCGUAGGCGGCCAGAUAAGUCCGGUGUAAAAGUCACAGGCUCAACCUGUGAAUGCCGCUGGAAACUGUCUGGCUUGAGUCCGGGAGGGGCGAGUGGAAUUCCUGGUGUAGCGGUGAAAUGCGCAGAUAUCAGGAAGAACACCCGUGGCUAAGGCGGCUCUCUAGUACGGUACUGACGCUGAGACGCGAAAGCGUGGGGAGCGAACAGG
rnacentral:rRNA from 1 species